UAAGGGAUAUUGCGCAAUGGGCGAAAGCCUGACGCAGCAACGCCGCGUGGAGGAUGAAGGCCCUCGGGUCGUAAACUCCUUUGGACGGAGACGAGGAAGGACGGUAUCCGUCGAACAAGUCACGGCUAACUACGUGCCAGCAGCCGCGGUAAAACGUAGGUGGCAAGCGUUAUCCGGAUUUACUGGGCGUAAAGCGUGUGCAGGCUGUUCACCAAGUGGUGUAUGAAAUCGCUCAGCUCAACUGGGCGCGGUUAUGCCAGACUGGUGGACUGGAGUCUGAAAGAGGGUGGUGGAAUUCCGGGUGUAGUGGUGAAAUGCGUAGAGAUCCGGAGGAACCCCAGAGGCGAAGGCGGCCACCUGGUUCAGCACUGACGCUCAGACACGACAGCAUGGGGAGCGAACGGGAUUAGAUACCCCGGUAGUCC
rnacentral:rRNA from 1 species